UGGGGAAUAUUGGACAAUGGGGGCAACCCUGAUCCAGCAAUGCCGCGUGUGUGAAGAAGGCCUUCGGGUUGUAAAGCACUUUUGUCCGGAACGAAACGUGCGGGGCGAAUAGCCUCGUAAACUGACGGUACCGGAAGAAUCAGCACCGGCUAACUUCGUGCCAGCAGCCGCGGUAAUACGAAGGGUGCAAGCGUUACUCGGAAUUACUGGGCGUAAAGGGUGCGUAGGUGGUUUGUUAAGUCUGCCGUGAAAUCCCGGCGUCAACCUGGGAAUGGCGGUGGAUACUGGCAAAGCUGGAGUGCGGUAGAGGGUAGUGGAAUUCCCGGUGUAGCAGUGAAAAUGCGUAGAGAUCGGGAGGAACACCAGUGGCGAAGGCGGCUACCUGGACCAGCACUGACACUGAGGCACGAAAAGCGUGGGGAGCAAAACAA
rnacentral:rRNA from 1 species